UUAAGCGACUAAGCGUACACGGUGGAUGCCCUGGCAGUCAGAGGCGAUGAAGGACGUGCUAAUCUGCGAUAAGCGUCGGUAAGGUGAUAUGAACCGUAUAACCGGCGAUUUCCGAUGGGGAACCCAGUGUGAUUCGUCACACUAUCAUUAACUGAAUCCAUAGGUUAAUGAGGCGAACCGGGGGAACUGAAACAUCUAAGUACCCCGAGGAAAAGAAAUCAACCGAGAUUCCCCCAGUAGCGGCGAGCGAACGGGGAGCAGCCCAGAGCCUGAAUCAGUGUGUGUGUUAGUGGAAGCGUCUGGAAAGGCGCGCGAUACAGGGUGACAGCCCCGUACACAAAAAUGCACAUAUUGUGAGCUCGAUGAGUAGGGCGGGACACGUGGUAUCCUGUCUGAAUAUGGGGGGACCAUCCUCCAAGGCUAAAUACUCCUGACUGACCGAUAGUGAACCAGUACCGUGAGGGAAAGGCGAAAAGAACCCCGGCGAGGGGAGUGAAAAAGAACCUGAAACCGUGUACGUACAAGCAGUGGGAGCACGCUUAGGCGUGUGACUGCGUACCUUUUGUAUAAUGGGUCAGCGACUUAUAUUCUGUAGCAAGGUUAACCGAAUAGGGGAGCCGAAGGGAAACCGAGUCUUAACUGGGCGUUAAGUUGCAGGGUAUAGACCCGAAACCCGGUGAUCUAGCCAUGGGCAGGUUGAAGGUUGGGUAACACUAACUGGAGGACCGAACCGACUAAUGUUGAAAAAUUAGCGGAUGACUUGUGGCUGGGGGUGAAAGGCCAAUCAAACCGGGAGAUAGCUGGUUCUCCCCCGAAAGCUAUUUAGGUAGCGCCUCGUGAAUUCAUCUCCGGGGGUAGAGCACUGUUUCGGCAAGGGGGUCAUCCCGACUUACCAACCCGAUGCAAACUGCGAAUACCGGAGAAUGUUAUCACGGGAGACACACGGCGGGUGCUAACGUCCGUCGUGAAGAGGGAAACAACCCAGACCGCCAGCUAAGGUCCCAAAGUCAUGGUUAAGUGGGAAACGAUGUGGGAAGGCCCAGACAGCCAGGAUGUUGGCUUAGAAGCAGCCAUCAUUUAAAGAAAGCGUAAUAGCUCACUGGUCGAGUCGGCCUGCGCGGAAGAUGUAACGGGGCUAAACCAUGCACCGAAGCUGCGGCAGCGACGCUUAUGCGUUGUUGGGUAGGGGAGCGUUCUGUAAGCCUGUGAAGGUGUGCUGUGAGGCAUGCUGGAGGUAUCAGAAGUGCGAAUGCUGACAUAAGUAACGAUAAAGCGGGUGAAAAAGCCCGCUCGCCGGAAGACCAAGGGUUCCUGUCCAACGUUAAUCGGGGCAGGGUGAGUCGACCCCUAAGGCGAGGCCGAAAGGCGUAGUCGAUGGGAAACAGGUUAGUAUUCCUGUACUUGGUGUUACUGCGAAGGGGGGACGGAGAAGGCUAUGUUGGCCGGGCGACGGUUGUCCCGGUUUAAGCGUGUAGGCUGGUUUUCCAGGCAAAUCCGGAAAAUCAAGGCUGAGGCGUGAUGACGAGGCACUACGGUGCUGAAGCAACAAAUGCCCUGCUUCCAGGAAAAGCCUCUAAGCAUCAGGUAACAUCAAAUCGUACCCCAAACCGACACAGGUGGUCAGGUAGAGAAUACCAAGGCGCUUGAGAGAACUCGGGUGAAGGAACUAGGCAAAAUGGUGCCGUAACUUCGGGAGAAGGCACGCUGAUAUGUAGGUGAAGCGACUUGCUCGUGGAGCUGAAAUCAGUCGAAGAUACCAGCUGGCUGCAACUGUUUAUUAAAAACACAGCACUGUGCAAACACGAAAGUGGACGUAUACGGUGUGACGCCUGCCCGGUGCCGGAAGGUUAAUUGAUGGGGUCAGCGCAAGCGAAGCUCUUGAUCGAAGCCCCGGUAAACGGCGGCCGUAACUAUAACGGUCCUAAGGUAGCGAAAUUCCUUGUCGGGUAAGUUCCGACCUGCACGAAUGGCGUAAUGAUGGCCAGGCUGUCUCCACCCGAGACUCAGUGAAAUUGAACUCGCUGUGAAGAUGCAGUGUACCCGCGGCAAGACGGAAAGACCCCGUGAACCUUUACUAUAGCUUGACACUGAACAUUGAGCCUUGAUGUGUAGGAUAGGUGGGAGGCUUUGAAGUGUGGACGCCAGUCUGCAUGGAGCCGACCUUGAAAUACCACCCUUUAAUGUUUGAUGUUCUAACGUUGACCCGUGAUCCGGGUUGCGGACAGUGUCUGGUGGGUAGUUUGACUGGGGCGGUCUCCUCCUAAAGAGUAACGGAGGAGCACGAAGGUUGGCUAAUCCUGGUCGGACAUCAGGAGGUUAGUGCAAUGGCAUAAGCCAGCUUGACUGCGAGCGUGACGGCGCGAGCAGGUGCGAAAGCAGGUCAUAGUGAUCCGGUGGUUCUGAAUGGAAGGGCCAUCGCUCAACGGAUAAAAGGUACUCCGGGGAUAACAGGCUGAUACCGCCCAAGAGUUCAUAUCGACGGCGGUGUUUGGCACCUCGAUGUCGGCUCAUCACAUCCUGGGGCUGAAGUAGGUCCCAAGGGUAUGGCUGUUCGCCAUUUAAAGUGGUACGCGAGCUGGGUUUAGAACGUCGUGAGACAGUUCGGUCCCUAUCUGCCGUGGGCGCUGGAGAACUGAGGGGGGCUGCUCCUAGUACGAGAGGACCGGAGUGGACGCAUCACUGGUGUUCGGGUUGUCAUGCCAAUGGCACUGCCCGGUAGCUAAAUGCGGAAGAGAUAAGUGCUGAAAGCAUCUAAGCACGAAACUUGCCCCGAGAUGAGUUCUCCCUGACUCCUUGAGAGUCCUGAAGGAACGUUGAAGACGACGACGUUGAUAGGCCGGGUGUGUAAGCGCAGCGAUGCGUUGAGCUAACCGGUACUAAUGAACCGUGAGGCUUAACCUU
rnacentral:rRNA from 1 species